GAAAGGCGAAACGUAAUGUGAAUCGCAACUAAGUGAAUCAUCGAAUCUUUGAACGCAGGCCGCACUCUCCGGUGUCUCAUUUCGGUGAAACGCCGGGAAGUAUCUAUGUAUGAGUGUCAGUCGAUAGAUUUUUGGUUCAUGAAGGCAUAUUAAAAUUUUUUAGUAAAAAAUUCAUGAAUACAAUGCAUGUCAAAGUACAUGUCACGGUGAAACAUUUUCUAGUCUGGCCUCAUAUAUGGAAGGUUACCCGCUGGAUUUAA
rnacentral:misc_RNA from 1 species